GACGAACGCUGGAGGCGUGCUUAACACAUGCAAGUCGAACGAUGAAAUGGAGCUUGCUCCAUGGAAUAGUGGCGCACGGGUGAGUAACACGUGAAUAACCUGCCCUUAAUUUUGGAAUAACCCAGGGAAACCUGGGCUACUACCGGAUACGUGAACCUGUGGCAACACAGGGUUUUGGAAAGUCUCUCGAUUAAGGAUGGAUUCGAGGCCUAUCAGCUUGUUGGUGAGGUAAUGGCUCACCAAGGAGACGACGGGUAGCCGGCCUGAGAGGGUGAACGGCCGCACGGGGACUGAGACACGGACCAGACUCCUACAGGAGGCAGCAGGGGGGAAUAUUGCGCAAUGGACGAAAGUCUGACGCAGCGACGCCUGGGUAGGGACGAAGGUCUUCGGAUUGUAAACCUCUUUCAGCAGGGACGUAGCUAAAGUGACGGUACCCACAGAAGAAGCACCGGCUAACUAUGUGCCAGCCGCCGCAGUAA
rnacentral:rRNA from 1 species